ensembl:lncRNA
UAUUAUUAUUAUUAUUAUUAUAUAAGUCCUUCAGGUAUUCUGAUAGCAUCUAAAUAUAACAAAGAAUAUGAAAUAUUACAUUAAAAUAGUGAGUGAAGCUUGUUUUCAGUAUUUAGUGAAUGGAAAAAAAAGACAACCAGUGUUUGUUUGCCUUGUACUCUGGCGUCAAGCCUGUGUUUUUAAAUGCCUUGGUAAUGCACUUCUGUAGAAAUAUCCAGAGUUUCUUUUAGUCUUUUUAUGAAUACUACUCUAACGGUCAUCAUUACUCUUGUGUACUCUGUGCUGCAUCAAUUCUUCGUCAAUAAUAGUGUCAAAAUUUCCAGAGGAAGGUGGAGAGGGAGCGAGAAAGUCAAAAUGCUUAGAUAAACAAAGAGUAAAGUAUGUACGGGGAUAAAACAGACUGUUAGAAGCCACGUGUUAAGUCACUGAGAGUUUUCACAGAAAUCUAAACACGAUGUAGACUGUACAUUCUGCCACACAGACCAGAAUGGGAAUUACAGAUUUCUUUAUGUGACAGCCUACAGUGAAAACAUAUUCUUGCUUCUGUAUUCUUCCUCCUUUCUUCCUCCAUCGUAGCCUCUUUCCCAUUAGUCUAAUGACACCCACAGGAGCUCACGUUUGUACACAGAGGAGAGAUGAAUCCCAAAAACACCCCAACAAAGUGAGAGCACAGUAAACAUUGAGAAAUUAAGAGCCUACAGGGUCUAGUUUCCAAAAGCAUUGUGCUUCGGAUCAGCAACUAUUGGUCAGAGUGUUUAAAGUGACGCUCAUGCACUUAAAACAUUUUAGGCAUCAAUCCGUCCCCCUCUAUGCCUAAAAUGUUCCUCACGACAAAUGACUUUCAGCCAGUGCCAAAUUCAAAAAAAUACACUGUAUAUAACAUGUAAUUCUAAGAUACAGCUUUGUCAAAUUUUAUCACAGAGAUGACUAUUACAGAAGAUUAUUAAGGCUAUUGAAGAUCAGCUUAGAGUUUGCUGACUCUCUGAAAAAAAAAAAGCUUUAUUUGCCCCUUGUGCUUGGGACAAAAUCAGUUGGGUGGGAAAGAAAGAAAGUACUGGGAAUUCUAUUUUUGUUAUUUUAUCAUUGGAAAGACAUAUAUAAAAAUUCUGAAUAUUAUGAACCUCCCUCUCCAGCAGUAAGGAUAUGUAGCUGUGAGCUCCUCAAGCAGCUAUGUCUUGCCUAUGUGCUACAAAAAAGUUACAUAAAUAAAUUAUUUUUCUUGCUUAAACACUCUUUUGGAGUCUUCAUUUUUAGUUAAUGGUAUUUAGAGACAGAAAGACAAUGGUAUUAUGAUGCAGGUUAUUUAUCAAUUAUUCAAAUAGUUCUGAUAUGUUUUAUUCAAUGUAAGGUUUGUAUUAUAGUAAAAAAAAAAAGAAGUUCUUUUACUGAGUUUGACAUGAGUAUCAGAUUAAAACUGUAUUCAGAA